rnacentral:rRNA from 1 species
CCUUAUGCAUGCAAGUCGAGCGAAGCUUUUUGGUAGUUUACUACUAGAAAUGACUGAGCGGCGAACGGGUGAGUAACGCGUGAGCAAUCUACCUUAGUUACUGGGAUAGCCCGAGGAAACUCGGAUUAAUACCAGAUAUUCUUAUUUUUUCACAUGAAGUUUUAAGGAAAGGUCAGCCGAACUAAGAUGAGCUCGCGUUCUAUCAGCUAGUUGGUGGGGUAAAAGCCUACCAAGGCUACGACGGAUAGCUGGUCUGAGAGGACGAUCAGCCACACUGGGACUGAGACACGGCCCAGACUCCUACGGGAGGCUGCAGCAGGGAAUAUUGUGCAAUGAGCGAAAGCUUGACACAGCGACACCGCGUGUGGGAUGACGGUUCUAGGAUUGUAAACCACUUUCAGGAGGGAAGAAAAUGACGGUACCUCCACAAGAAGACCCGGCCAACUAUGUGCCAGCAGCCGCGGUAAUACAUAGGGGUCAAGCGUUGUCCGGAUUUAUUGGGCGUAAAGAGCUCGUAGGCGGUUCAACAAGUCGGUCGUAAAAGUUUAGGGCUCAACCCUAAAAUGUCGAUCGAUACUGUUGUGACUAGGAUACGGUAGAGGUGAAUGGAAUUCCGAGUGUAGCGGUGAAAUGCGUAGAUAUUCGGAGGAACACCAAUUG